GCCUCGCGAUACUUUAUACACACACACACAAUGCUAAACAUGGAGAUCAACUUGCUGAAAUUAACUAUAGGCCACAUGUAUUUAAAGGUUGAAACUAUUACUAAGCUGUUAUUGAACUCAUACAUGUAGUGAUUCUAAUAAUACAGAUACUCCAGAUAUUUAAAUCAGGUAUUACAAUAGUUUUUAAAUUCAUUCAGAUACUUAAACCAAAAUCCAAAACAACAGCGUCAUGAUGAAAGUUAAUCUGGAACUUAACAUCACCACUAACUUGAACCAAUUCCGUGAAAAUCCAACAAAGAAUGUUACUCAUCCAAAUUAAACCCCCAAUCUAAUAGUCCACACCCCCAAAUACUUGAUAGGAAGAGCUUAACCAAGCUAAAACCCACAUGACAAGCUAAAGUUCAAAUACAAACCUAAAAUGUACUGUCAAUAGCAUGACUGAAUAUAGUCAAAUCAUAUACAAAGCCAAUUCAAUAAGGAACAUGGAUAGUCCUUGAGGAACAUGGACUAAUAUCCAACAAACUAAUAUUCAUCCACAAAUUUUCAACUCAAUUACAUAGCUUCAAAUUUUGAACUUCACAUAUCACUCAAAGAACCAAGGAAUGCCUGGAUAUCAAAAUAAACAACAUAAGGUAAGGAUUUCAGCAACAGCAGUGAGUUAGCACAACAAUGUUCAAAUCUUUUAAACCAAUUUUACCCUAGAUGCAUAGAAAUUCCUUGAAGUUUUUAAAUUUUGACACAAUGAAUACCAAAGAACAAAACCAAAACCAAUUUCAACCAAAAAAAAUGCAGGAGCUUUUUAGUAUUUUUUUAUGGUUUGAGUGACACUUUCAGAAGCUUAGUGCCGAAAAAUGAAGGUGAAAACCUCCUCCUAUAUAGGCCUCUAAGGCCAUGUGCCUAAAAAAAUGAGAAUAUUUUCAGCCUGUAAAAGACAUCUUUUGUAACUAAUUGGGACAAGUGGCAUCCUUUAAUUGGGUCCAGCUACUUGUGCUAACCAAAUAAGGCCAGUUGCCCCUAUUCUAGAAGCAUCCCUCACAAAAAUCUGAUUUUCUAAUCCUUAAAUUAUCUCCCAAGUUUCCAUAAUUCAACCAAAAACACCAAUAGUUUCUAACCGUCACUAACUAGACAAACAUGAAAUGGGAAAUUAUCAAUCAAAUCUAACCUUGGCCAUGUGGCAGUGGAAACAUCAAAAUAAAGGAAAACUUAGAAAUAUAAAACAUGUAAUUAGCCUCAGAAUCAAAAGAAAUAACAACAAAGAACAUAGAAGGGAGCCGAAUCAUGUUAAAUUGGUCAAACAAUUAAGAAUCCUAUUUAACUUAGGCAAAAAAAUUUCAACAAAUAAACUCCACUAAUUUGAACAAAUAUGUAAUAACGACUAAUUGACCAUAUAAUUAAUCAAACGGAUUCAGAAAAACAUAUAAUCAAAAUUAAGAGAAAAUUUUAAAUAAGCGAAGGAAUCAAAAAGAAGACUUAAGAAAGAAAAGGCCUAACUGGAAGAGUCAAUGACUGAGUAACAGGAGAAAAUGAACUUGGCUAAGCAUGGCGGCUUGGUCAAGACAGCAACCUUCGAAAUGAAUCAAAACUAACAUUAGGCGAUAGUUCUUAGCAAGAACGAUAGCUUAAUGCUAGCCUUGAGUCAAAUCUAGUCCUUAGAAGGCAGAGAAUCGGAUCUAGGGUGAUUUAGGGUUUUCAUAGAUCCGGUCUUCAGGGAAUUUGAUGGAUUUUUUGGUAGGAUGGUUGAUAGAUUAACAUAAAAGGGAAGUUUGGGGGUGUAGAAGGCGGGUUUGAUGGUGAUUUGUGGUGGUUUGGGGCUUAGCCGCCAUCAGAAAGGGCUGAGGGAUUCGGGGCGGCUAGGUUAGUGGUUUUUUUUGUGUUAGUUUUAGUUAUGAUAUUCGAAUACUUGGGCGAGGAUUUGAGGGAAUCGAUUUGGGUAUUUGAAAAGAGGGGGUGAUGGGGAAUUUAAUAUGUUAAGUUGGUGAAGAUUGGGCCAUUGAAACCGCCGUGAGGCGAUUUCUGGUAGGCGGAGUACGGCGGAGGAGGUGGGAAUUCGAGAGCGGCGCCUCUAGGGUUCAAGAGAGACGGGAUGUGGGAAAUGAUAUGGGGGAGGGGAAGGUUCAUUCCGACAAUUAAAUACCCAGGGGAGGUCGAAUUCCGGUCCAUUGGAUCAAUGUGAUUUAACGGUUGAGAGAGGCUAGGGGAAAAACUAUGUCGUACUGAUCCAGGUGAGGAUUUGGACAGGGGCGAUUUGGGCCUGGUUUGGGAUGAGUUAUGGGGUUGGAAUAGGCGGGUGUAAGGAAGAUCAC
rnacentral:lncRNA from 1 species